rnacentral:rRNA from 1 species
UACGUAGGGUGCAAGCGUUAAUCGGAAUUACUGGGCGUAAAGCGUGCGCAGGCGGUUAUGUAAGACAGAUGUGAAAUGCCCGGGCUUAACCUGGGAACUGCAUUUGUGACUGCAUGGCUAGAGUACGGCAGAGGGGGAUGGAAUUCCGCGUGUAGCAGUGAAAUGCGUAGAUAUGCGGAGGAACACCGAUGGCGAAGGCAAUCCCCUGGGCCUGUACUGACGCUCAUGCACGAAAGCGUGGGGAGCAAACAGG